rnacentral:rRNA from 1 species
UACGAAGGGUGCAAGCGUUACUCGGAAUUACUGGGCGUAGAGCGUGCGUAGGUGGUUCGUUAAGUCUGAUGUGAAAGCCCUGGGCUCAACCUGGGAAUGGCAUUGGAUACUGGCGACCUAGAGUGCGGUAGAGGGGUGUGGAAUUCCCGGUGUAGCAGUGAAAUGCGUAGAUAUCGGGAGGAACACCAGUGGCGAAGGCGAGUCCCUGGACAACUUCUGACGCUGAGGCACGAAAGCUAGGGGAGCAAACAGG